rnacentral:rRNA from 1 species
AGAGUUUGAUCCUGGCUCAGGAUGAACGCUAGCGGCAGGCCUAAUACAUGCAAGUCGAACGGUAACAUGAGAGCUUGCUCUUGAUGACGAGUGGCGCACGGGUGCGUAACGCGUAUGCAACCUACCCUUUACUGGGGGAUAGCCCGGAGAAAUCCGGAUUAAUACCCCAUGGUACUGUAAUGUAGCAUUACAUAGCAGUUAAAGAUUUAUUGGUAAAGGAUGGGCAUGCGUGACAUUAGUUAGUUGGUAAGGUAACGGCUUACCAAGACGAUGAUGUCUAGGGGUUCUGAGAGGAAGGUCCCCCACACUGGUACUGAGACACGGACCAGACUCCUACGGGAGGCAGCAGUAGGGAAUAUUGGUCAAUGGGCGGAAGCCUGAACCAGCCAUGCCGCGUGCAGGAUGACAGCUUUCUGAGUUGUAAACUGCUUUUAUAUAGGAACAAAUAGGCCAUGCGUGGCAAGUUGCGUGUACUAUAUGAAUAAGCACCGCUAACU